CCUACGGGAGGCAGCAGUGGGGAAUAUUGCACAAUGGGGGAAACCCUGAUGCAGCGACGCCGCGUGAGUGAAGAAGGAUUUCGUUUUGUAAAGCUCUAUCAGCAGGGACGAAAAUGACGGUACCUGAGGAAGAAGCCACGGCUAACUACGUGCCAGCAGCCGCGGUAAUACGUAGGGGGCAAGCGUUAUCCGGAUUUACUGGGUGUAAAGGGAGCGUAGGCGGCAUGGCAAGUCAGAAGUGAAAAGCGUGGGCUCAACCCCUGGACUGCUUUUGAAACUGUUAGGCUAGAGUGCAGGAGAGGAAAGUGGAAUUCCUAGUGUAGCGGUGAAAUGCGUAGAUAUUAGGAGGAACACCAGUGGCGAAGGCGGCUUUCUGGACUGUAACUGACGUUGAGGCUCGAAAGCGUGGGGAGCAAACAGGAUUAGAUACCCUAGUAGUC
rnacentral:rRNA from 1 species